rnacentral:rRNA from 1 species
GAUGAACGCUAGCGGCAGGCUUAAUACAUGCAAGUCGAGGGGGAUUAUUUUUGUAGCAAUACAGAGAUAUGAGACCGGCAAACGGGUGCGGAACACGUACGCAACCUUCCCAAAACUGGUGAAUAGCCCUCCGAAAGGAGGAUUAAUACACCGUAACAUAAUGAAGUGGCAUCACUUUAUUAUUAUAGCUCCGGCGGUUUUGGAUGGGCGUGCGCCUGAUUAGGUAGUUGGCGGGGUAACGGCCCACCAAGCCUGCGAUCAGUAACUGGUGUGAGAGCACGACCAGUCACACGGGCACUGAGACACGGGCCCGACUCCUACGGGAGGCAGCAGUAAGGAAUAUUGGUCAAUGGACGAAAGUCUGAACCAGCCAUGCCGCGUGAAGGAUGAAGGCCCUCUGGGUUGUAAACUUCUUUUAUCUGGGACGAAAAAAGACGAUUCUUCGUCACUUGACGGUACCAGAGGAAUAAGCACCGGCUAACUCCGUGCCAGCCGCCGCAGUAACAC